GUGCUUGCUUAGGCAGCACAUACACUAAAAUUGUUUAAUAAACUGACAAGAUUAUCAUGGCCCCUGCACAAGAAUGACGCACAAAUUCAUGAAGCAUUUCAUAUCUUU